AUAUAAUUAAUGAGAGCUUUCCCGAAUUUCAAACAUCCUGAAAAGCAGCAAAUCCCUUCCCUUUGGAGGCUAUAUUGACUAUAACAAUAGAAGUGAGGUGGUGCGGGCUUUGGAAGGCUUCAGAAAACCCAUCCUUGUGAUCUUUGUUCCACCGCUGGGGAAAGAGGACAUCCUUGCACGUGCCUGGCAUUGUUCAUGACAACACUGCAGCCGAAAUAAAGCAAGAGUUUCUGGGAGUAGCAUUAGGAUGCAGCCCUCCCGCUGUGCGCACCAGUUCCCCCGCUCUGCACAGCUGCCUUCUCAGCUGGGGGUUUGAAAUCAGCACUGUGAGGAAAGCCAGAAAUGACCGUGAAGCUUGCCCCUCACUAUGAGGAAAAGUUUAUAGGUUUGCUGACUGGAUAAGCAAUCAAGUUCACUGCUGUCUGAGUCUUCAGGUUAUGUCCGGGUGUUGAGCACUGGUGCUGAAGUUGCUAAGGAAUUUGAAAUUUCGCUGGUGAUGAUGUCCCCAAUCUGUCGUCUCUCCAAAUGGAACUCCCUUAGAAUUGAAAAAAAGGGCACCUUUGCAAGGAAUAUGACCCCACGACACAUAAGGGAGGUACUGCUCACCUUGAAUGAUAAGGCUGGUGGUAUUUAAUAUGCAGAGGAACAUCAGGAAUGGUCAGACAUAAAGACUUGCAGAAAUCGAGACAGAAAAGCUCUCCUAAGAAUGGGACGAGGAAGUACCAACAACGUCUUUGUGCUCAAAGAAUGGAUGGAGUUGAUCCUGUGAGGAGAAAGUGGAGUGUGAACGCAUGUGCACUAAAGAACGGGUUCAGCAGCCACACUUCUCACUGCCCGUGUCUUUCGUGUCGCGUAGUUGCCUGACUCUAACACAAUUCGGCAAAUAAUGAUAAAAGCCACACAGUGGUGAACUGACUCUCCAGUGUGCACCCGUCCUUUUUCAUCAAGGACACAUUAUUAACACAUUUCAUUUUUUAAAUUAUCUUUUCCAGGGGCUGUUCAUUUUUAGAGAAAGGCUCUGAGUACACACAUGGAGUUGAGCAACACUUUUUCUUGAAGAAAUGGCUGGCAAGAUAAAUGACACAUCAUUUCAUAAAAUAAAGUAACGAAGCAUCUGAGCGGUUUGAACAUUUGCUAUAAAAUUUGCAGCCCCGUAAGAAAACAGAGCACAGAAUAUGAUUAAGGAAUCUGGGUAAACAUCCCGAUGGGUGGGAACCAUCGGGCAUAUUAAUCGAUCUGCCUCCCAGCUACCUUUCCAUUUAUCUGGUCUACCUUGACAGUCAUUAGUGGCGGUUGCUUGUUAAUAUUGGAAGUCAGAUUUCAUGCUCAACAGUUGCUACACACGCAAGUUAUAAACCGCACCGAGUAUAACCAGAUAAAUGCUACUCAGAAAAUUUCCACAGUCAUAAAUUAGGCGAGGGUUUAAAACGUAGAGUUUGUUAAAUGGGUCCUGAGUGCGUAGCUUAGAGGUUUUGCUUUCUGGAUCGCUCUGUGUGUGUACCUGUCGGCCACAGUUUUUGCUAUCAGAUGCUGUUGCCAGGGCAACUGCCUCCUUUGUACAGGCUUAGGGUAGCUGCUUCUUUUUGGAAAUGGACUCUGGGCUGGUUGCCAGAAUCCUGGUUCUUAAAUUCAGGGCUCUGGUUUGGCAUAAUUAACCAUUUAAGUGGUCUGAGGAAAAAAAUACAGAGUGCAAAGGCUUCUUGAGAUUUUCAUUCUCAAAGGGAAUUAAGGGCAAUUAUAUUAAAAAAAAUACAUUGUCUUUUGCCGUGACAUAUACUGUGUUGAUAGGGAAUGGAAAGAAGAUUGCUUUAUUUAUUCAGUAAUUUAAAGGGGAGUAAAGCAUUAUUGAUGUUUCCAAAAACAAUUCAUAAAGGUUAUAGUUUAAGUCUCAUUCCCUUAUUCUAACUCACCACACAGGGAAAAUCAAUUCCCACUAAUAAAAGACAAGAGAACUGUAAUACAUUCUAUAGUUCUCUUAUGUAGCAGAAUUUACUGUUAUAAGAAGAAACAGGUAUCCUAGCUUACUCUCAUUAAAAUCAUUCACAGAAUCCACUUUCCAUUAUUGUUUGUUUUUUUCUGUAUUUAUUUCAUUGACUUCUGCUCAUUUAAAACUGAGAAGAAACUGUGCACCUUCUAUUCUUAACUUUGGUAUUUACUGCACAUUUAUUUAUGAAUCCAUUUCUUUCAUGUUUGAGUUUCAAUGAUUAUUUUAAUGAAAAGAUAAAUUGUUCAUAUUUUCAUGAGGUCGGGAUGUGAGAUCAGUUUCUUGUACCUGCUUCUGUCUUUUCUGCCAUGUAGAAAUUUGUACCUUUAUCUAUGUUAGAAUUCUUUAAUAAAAUUAAAGUCUUGCUUCCUAGA